AUGUUAAAAUGGAAAUAUUUCUCUUUUAUAGAGUUGCUCUGUGGAUGUGUCCUGCAAAUUCAAAGAAACAGAGAAGUGACGAGAGAAGAUGAAGCACACCAGUUCACAACUGAGAAAAUGAAGGAGGAUGAGAACCAGGAAAAGAGGGAAAACAACUUUGUCAUGCAAAUACCAGUACUUCUUUUGAUUGGAGUGGAACGUCCAUGGCUAUGCCUGCUGAGUAUUGGCCAUUUCACCCAGUUCUGGCCUUACCAUGAAGAGACAUGAAUCAAUUCACUUCAGGGAGCAGGUACCAGAAAAGCGUUCAUGUUAUUGUUUCAAAUCGCUAGCCUUUUAUGUCAUUUCAAAAAGAGAACACCAACGGAUGUAUCAUUUGAAUGUCAAAUGUAAAAAUCUUUUGAGGCCAAGACUGAUUUCAGUCCUACCCUUUCAUAAAACAAUAUAAUUGUUAUACAUCUUGGCAUAUACCUGUACAUAAGUUAUUCUUUGAGUGCAAUAAUUUUAAAGGCAUUAACUUUUGUAAAAUCUAGUCAUUUCGUCCAGUAAAUCAAAUAUACAAAGUGGAAAAAAGAGGAAACAGCAGUGCUGAAAACGAGUUGUGGGCAAAACAACUAGUGAUAGUAAAAUAUAACCACUUGCUACAAUUUCAUAAUUGUGGGCAGGGCCUUGUUAGUGAUAGGAUCACAGUUUUGGAAUGGCUUUGGAAAAAGGAUUGCCUGGUACCUUUUUUGUGUCUGUUAAAUUUUUUUCUUCCCAGAUUUUAUAUCUUCUGUUUUAAUAACAUAUUUCUAAUUUUUGACGUCUGUACUGCUGCUGUCCUCUGCAACUGGUUUUACUUAACUUUAUACGGUAUCUGUUUUGUUUUGUUAUAGAUGUUACAUUAUCUUUAUUGUAUUUGUGUAUCUAAUGUAAAAGAACAUCCACAUAAAAUGUGCUUGGAGAGAAAUAAAUCACUAGGAAUAGUUGACAUAGUAAUAGAGCUGUUUCAAGAUAUAGAUACAGAAUGCAAUCAAGUUUUAAUUUUAAAAAAAUCUUUCCAACUCUACUAUUACAAGCAAUGGAAAUGUUCAAUAUACUAUACAUUUUAGCUCCCCUCCCAAAAGGGAAUUCUGGGGAUUAUAGUAACUAUCAAAUCUUAGCAUGCUAUCUCAUACAAACACAAUGGUGCUAAAGAUGCAACAAAGUAUUUCUGAAGAAACGCAACCUAUGCUUUAUAUAUUAUGGCAAAACCUUUGACUGUGUAGAGAAAAACUAGUGUAAAUACUCAGCAUUGCCUGAGUGUCAGAGGGCCACUGCCCUCUGCUUUCAUUCCUUCUUUCUCUUCCUUCCUUCCCUCCUUUAUCUUUCUUUCCCCUCCUUCCUUCUACUUUCCUUUCUUUCCCUUUUUCUUUCUUUUUCCUUCCUUCCUUCCUUCCUUCCUUCCUUCCUUCCUUCCUUCCUUCCUUCCUUCCUUCCUUCCUUCCUUCCUUCCUCCCUUUCCCUCAUGCACAUGUCAUCUCUCUUCCUCAGUGACAUCAGAAAGGGGCACUUCAUC
rnacentral:lncRNA from 1 species